rnacentral:rRNA from 1 species
GACGGAGGGUGCUAGCGUUGUUCGGAAUGACUGGGCGUAAAGGGCGCGUAGGCGGCUCGUGAAGUCGGGUGUGAAAGCCCGGGGCUCAACCUCGGAACGGCAUUCGAUACGGGACGGCUGGAGACCGGGAGAGGAGAGUGGAAUAGCCAGUGUAGAGGUGAAAUUCGUAGAUAUUGGCUGGAACACCGGUGGCGAAAGCGGCUCUCUGGCCCGGUUCUGACGCUGAGGCGCGAAAGCGUGGGGAGCAAACAGG